UACAGAGGGUGCAAGCGUUGUUCGGAAUUAUUGGGCGUAAAGCGCGUGUAGGCGGCUUUGCAAGUCGGGUGUGAAAGCCCUCAGCUCAACUGAGGAAGUGCGCCCGAAACUGCAGAGCUUGAGUGCCGGAGAGGGUGGCGGGAAUUCCCCCAAGUAGAGGUGAAAUUCGUAGAUAUGGGGGAGGAACACCGGUGGCGAAGGC
rnacentral:rRNA from 1 species